AUGGACGAGGAGUUCGUGUCCAAGGAGGAGCUGGAGGAGCGGCUGCGUGGGUGGCUGGAGAGGUGGCCGGGGGGCGCGCUGCCGCCGGACCUCGCUAGAUUCGACACGGUGGACGACGCCGUCUCGUACCUCGUCAGGUCGGUGUGCGAGCUCGAGGUCGACGGCGAGGUGGGCUCCGUGCAGUGGUACCAGGUCCAGAUCGAAUAG
rnacentral:rRNA from 1 species